AAAAUGCGAUACUUGGUGUGAAUUGCAGAAUCCCGUGAACCAUCGAGUUUUUGAACGCAAGUUGCGCCCGAAGCCAUCCGGCUGAGGGCACGCCUGCCUGGGCGUCACGCAUCGCGUCGCUCCCCACCAUACCUCCCCAACGGGUUGGCAUGGUGUUGGGGGCGGAUAAUGGCCUCCCGUGCUUGUGUUUCGGUUGGCCUAAAUAAGAGUUCCCUUCGGCGGACACACGACUAGUGGUGGUUGAAUAGACCCUCGUCUUUUGUUGCGUGUCAUGAGCUGUAAGGGUAGCCCUCAUCAAAGACCCCAUUGUAUCGUCUUCGGAUGAUGCUUCGACCGCGACCCCAGGUCAGGCGGGACUACCCGCUGAGUUUAAGC
rnacentral:misc_RNA from 1 species